rnacentral:rRNA from 1 species
GGCCUUUUGUUUAAAAUUUAAGGUUUAGCCUGCCCACUGAAUAUUAAAGGGCCGCGGUACCCUGACCGUGCUAAGGUAGCAUAAUCAUUAGUUUUUUAAUUGGAAGCUGGAAUGAAUGGUUGGAUGAGAAAAUAACUGUCUCUAUUUAAUUUUUAUUGAAUUUUAUUUUUAAGUUAAAAAGCUUAAAUAUAUUUAAAAGACGAGAAGACCCUUUAGAGUUUUAUAAAAAAAAGUACUUUGAGAAUAAUUGGGAUUAUAAUUUUUAUUAUUUUUUUUUAUUUGAUUGGGGUGAUUGAAAAAUUUGAUAAACUUUUUUUUGUUUAGGCCAUUAAUUUAUGAGUUUUUGAUCCAUAUUUUAUGAUUAGAAGAUUAAAUUACCUAAGGGAUAACAGCGUAAUUUUUUUUGAGAGUUCGAAUCGAAAAAAAAGUUUGCGACCUCGAUGUUGGAUUAAAAUUUAUUUUUGGUGUAAAGGCUAAAAUAUUGGGUCUGUUCGACCUUUGAAAUUUUACAUGA